UACAGAGGUGGCAAGCGUUGUUCGGAUUUACUGGGCGUAAAGGGCGCGCAGGCGGCUCAUUUUGUCAGGCGUGAAAGCCCCGGGCUUAACCUGGGAACUGCGUUUGAUACGGAUGGGCUAGAGUUCGGGAGAGGAGAGUGGAAUUCCCAGUGUAGAGGUGAAAUUCGUAGAUAUUGGGAAGAACACCGGUGGCGAAGGCGGCUCUCUGGACCGAUACUGACGCUGAGGCGCGAAAGCGUGGGGAGCAAACAGG
rnacentral:rRNA from 1 species